rfam:TPA: Bos taurus chromosome 2, whole genome shotgun sequence.
UCCCUGAUGGCUCAGUUGGUAAAGAAUCUGCCUGCAAUGCAGGAGACCCUGGUCUGAUUCCAGGGUUGGGAA